CUCGCAACGCCGCCGCAUUUCUCCAACCCUCUCACCGCUUCCUCACCACCUCCAAAAGCUCAGCAGGCCAUGGCUGGAUAGACAAGCAUGUCCGCUGAUCGAGCAGCUUAAGCCCUCCAUGCCCUGCGCUCGUGCGUGAUUCGCAUCUAUGACUGCUCAGCAGAGUUCCUUGUUCUGAAAAUUCGGAAUUAGUUCGCGUUCCGAAGGCUCCAGAUCUGAAGUUAGGAAUUGGAGGUUCAGAGAAUUGCAUAUUACUGCUGCAGAUAUGGACUUUUUGGGUUUUCUUGUUCCCGUCAAAAGAUUGCAACUUUCACAUCCUUUUAUCUCUCUAUUACAGUAGUCCCGAUGUAUUCAAGUCUCGUCAAUUAAUUCUAUUGUAUUUUAUCUCUUUGGGACUCAGGGUAUUCGAGCAUUAGUUGGUUCGAUGGAUCGCAAGUUUCUGAAUAUGGUCCUGCACGAGUAUGGCAGUAGAAUGUAUUCGCUGUGCCGCAUCAAGCUCUCCACUCAUCUCUUCUAUCCGACAGCAAAAGACGCAACAACAGCCCAUGAAGAUGCAAAUGCAAGGAAGAAGAAGCAUGGGGGAUGGCCAUCAACGAUCUCGAGCUGCAAGCGCCCGCCAAGUACUUUGGUCAACUUCUCGGUGCCACCCAGCACUGCUGCCGCCAGUAACAUGCGUUUCUUCUCCCUCCUGCCUGAGCAGGGAGAGUCCUCUGUCAUGUUCACUGACCCUUCUUGCAACUCCGCAGUCUACGAUAUGGACAUGAAGUCUUUCGUUCUCGCACCCAGCUCAUACUUCUGCAAACCGUAUGAUUCCAUCACCGUGUCCAUUAGGAACCGAUGCAGCAGUGGCAAUUUCUUGGACCACGAAGAUGAUCAUGGCCUCUACGUCAUGAACAGCUUGGACGACAGCUUUGAGUUCUUCAGUUACUGCAAGGUUGGCCUAUCUACCUAUCCGUUGCUGUACAAUAAGUGGUACUGGAGUCCUCUGCCGUCUCCACCGUCCCGCACCAGUCCUCUUGUUGCAGCGGCGGUGAUUGACAACUCCACCAUAUGCGCGUCAUCCAAGAACGGCACAUACACCUUUGAUAUUUCGAGGGAGGUGUGGAGCCACACUGGCAGCUGGGUGCUGCCCUUCCACCGCGCAGCAGAGUAUGUCCCUGAGCUUGGACUCUGGUUCGGCCUCCAGGCCCCUGGCACCUGGCAAAAUCGCUUAUGUGCAUUUGACCUUUCAUCCUCUGCCAUGGCGGAAUCUGCUCCUUCACCCCUGCAUGAUUGGGAAUACCUCGAUCUCCUCCCCGACGAGUUGCUGCCGGUGGGGCGUGCCUUGGUGAACCUGGGCUCGGGCAAGUUUUGCAUCGCGACCCACUGCAGGAAGGAUAGGUCUGCACUCCAGGAGGAGGACGAGCUGGAGAAUAUUAGGAGUUUGGGUGGAAAUGGGGGUGUGCAAACUCUCUUGACUGGCGUGGAGGUGGUCCGCUGCGCCGACGGGCUCCAGCUUAUCCACCACAAGUCCCAACGUUACAACAUUGAAAACUUAAGUAUCCACUGUGUGCUCUGACUCGUUUUAUUACCUAUCCGAUCAUCCCAAUCUGAGCCAUGUAGUACUAGUUAGUUAGCUUUACCUAGUGGCUGGAUGCAUCACUCUGUUAUGAUUACCUGUAAGUCGGGACUUACAAAAUAAUACUCCUACUACUUUAUUUAUUGGACUGCAGAUUUUGUUUUAUAAUUUUUUUGGAGUUUGCUGUUGAUGCUGCCA
rnacentral:rRNA from 1 species